rnacentral:misc_RNA from 1 species
GUCUAAGCGAGCUUAGCAAACCUGCAGUGGCGGGUAGCGAGUGCUUCGACACAGUUUCUAUCGCACUGCCUUUCCUAGUGGCAGCGCAAGAGAACCCCCACGCGUCUACCUUGUGUGUCCUUUCUAUGCCCCCCCCCCCUCUGUCCCGGUCAUGUCCAUCGACGCCGGCCUCUGCGACCGUUAUGUGGUUUUCCUCGAUAUUGACGGCGUUCUCCUGCCGGUCCCGAAGUUCACCUUCGGCGGUGGCGACCUUAGCGGCAGGUGUGCGCAGACCCUCAAGCGGCUGAUCGCCGCCCUCGGGGGACGCGACAAGGUGACGCUUGUGCUGUCCUCAACCUGGCGCAACCACCCUGCCAUGGUGGACCGGCUGAACACGUUCAUGCAGAAAGAGGCCGGCGACGGCAUCCCUGUCGUGUCGGAGAAAACGCCAAACGGGACGGUGCUGGUGAGCUCAGUGACCUACUAUGCCGAUGACCCGUCUGAGCAGCGCCUCGUCCGAGAUCGAGUGGACGAGGUGUACCGCUGGCUGCACACGCACAUCACAGAUCACCCAGAGGCGAUCGGCGGGCGAUGGUUUGCGAUUGAUGACAUGCAGCUAGACGUGGACGAGCGCAUGCGUGGGCACUUUCUGCACACGCAGACGGACGUCGGCAUAACAGAGGCGGACGUGGACACCGCGUGCGCGAUGAUGGCGUCCCACCCAAGCCCAGCGGACGCCUACGCCGCGGCAGUUGCCGCCCUCGCCGAUCCGGCGCUGAAGGCGGAAGAGAUUGAGAUUCAUAGAGUGCUGCAGUCUCGCCUGGAGGCACAGCUCGCCGCCACCACUGCGGAGCUCACAGAAGUGCAGGAAAAGGUGGCGGCCCUCUCUGCCGAAAAGAAGGACCUCAUCAGGGAGCUGGCAGAGAAGCAGCGGUCUAUGGAAGACAUGCGCUACCGGCUGGCCGUGUACGACUUUUCCAAGCGCUACCCCUGCCUCGCCGCCGCUGUGGAGCUGGUUGGCACCAAGUCGGGUGCCGAGAGACGCGCCAUGGAUGACACUAUCCGCACCUUCGUAACGCUUCUCAUGGACCGCAAAGAGCUGCAGAAGAAGAUGCGCAGCGAGGCCAAAAAGGUGAAGCAGGCCUCAUGACAGGCAAGCGGCUGCGGUGCUGAUGGGGAUGGUGGUCGUUGGCAUUGUACUCGAGCAAGAGAGCAGGAUGAUGUGCCAUGGCGCGCCUCUCAGAGCAGCCGCCACGCAGCAAGCAACGGUGUAUAGAGUCUGGUCGUAGCACGGCGGAUAACGCAUACAUACGGUGCGCGUGGAUGAGCUGUACAGGCGACAAACAAGACGAAAGACGCAAGAGAGCGGGAGGGAGCUGUAAAGGCAUUGGAAGACGCACACACGCGCGCACGGUGCGUCCGGUGAAGCCCUCAUUCCUGCUCACCAUCUUGUAUGCUUGCCCAUUUCCAUUGCCGGCGAGGGGAGGGGGGUGCGCUCGCUGGCUGAUGCCGAGCUCCCUCAUUAAUACCCUCUCAAUGCUGUGCACACACAGACACACAAACACGAGCGCACGCACACACCCUCGAAGGCCACACCACACAGUGAGCGAAUUCGCGUGAAAUCGAGCAACGGCAACACCAAGAAACACAAAGGAAAGAGUUGAAGACUUGGUGCCUCAGGUUACCUGAAGUAGCCAAAUGUGUGGGCUCUGCCUCGCGUGGCUCUUUUCCACGCGUCCACUUCAUCGGCCCCUCCUCCAGCCCACCCACCCCGAUAAAACCGCUUAUCGGCAGCUACCAGACCACUCGACGCACAAACCGACCCUCCAAAGCAAGUCGGCAUGACCCGAACUCCGGGGCCUUCGCCCCACCUCCACGCCGCUCUGCUCACUGGUCCUCCCGCCCAAGGCGUCUCCCCACCCG